UUCUACCGAGUCACAGACUCCUUUUAAUCCAACAGUUUGGCAGCUGACAAAAACUAACAAGAUAGUUACUUAUUAUUAUCUGGGACAUUCUAAUCCAGUUCUAGAAUAACAAGUGGCUUCUAGAAGAUGAUAAUAGCUGUGUGUUGCCUCUACUUAUAGGUUAGCUCCUUGAUUAAAACAUGAUGUUCGAUGACCAAGAUCAUGAAUAUGGUUUCCCUCCCCACGGGCACAUCCCAUGCUGAUGCUUAUGCCACUUGGGGAGCACUUUAAGAAACAGAACAUGAAAGUACCAUUAGCUUUCCUAUCCCCUUGUAUGUCAAUGAAGAUGAAAGGUUCACCUGUAAUUUUCUCCUCCAAUAAUUACAGCUUUCAAAUAUCGAAAAGAAAAAUAGGACCAAAGAUAUUUUUAUAUUUAGUAAAUAAAGCACGUCAACUCUCAAGAGGUGCUUGGCCCUUUAAACGAUACAGCAAUGCACAGAAAGACAGUUGGGUGAGGCUGCAUGCCCUUCAUAUACAUUUCAACACCUACCUCAGGUCCCAAAAUAAAUAUUUUUAGUAUUGUCUCAUUCCGGACUGUUCCAACAUGCAUUAUAUCAGCUUGCCUGCAUAUUCUAACGUAACAGCAUGCAAGUUUCCAGCAGCUCAUUCUCGAUGUAUUUUCAACAGACAUUAAUUCCUCAUUACAUAUAUUCCACCUUUGAAAAUUACAUCAGCAAAAGAUUGUAAGAUGUAGUACUGACCAGCACAGUAUUCAUGAGGGGGGAAGAUCCAAUCUAGAGCAAGGAAAAUACUGCAAUUUUCCACACAGUAAUUACAGCUAAAACCAAUGAUACGGGCUAAACCCAACCCUGUUCCCUGUUUCCAAUGAUGUGGUGUGAUAUACCUCAGGGCCAUUUGUCAGGAAUCCUCAGGGUUGUUGAUGGAUAUGGCUAUUUUCCUUCUUUAAUUUCUCUGAAAGAAGUAGAUGGGGCAGAGGAAUGAGGGUGGGGCUCCUUUUUAGUACAUUGUAUUUUUCCUUCAGUUCGGCUAACAGGAAGGAUGAACGCAGGCCUGCAGGAAACUCUCCUUUUGCCACUAAGCCCUUCUAGGGUCAAGGGUGAGGAGCCAAGGGGUCAAUAUAACUAACCCCUAUCUGUGCUGCCUCUGGUCAACCUUCUGCUUCUGGGUUUCCACACAGACUUCCAUAGCAUUAAGAGUCUUUCUCAUCCAAAUAAGCACAUUUUUAGGGAUGGUUUAGGCUGAGUGGAACACAGAGAGGAAAAAAUGGAGUAAAAAAAAAUGUAAAAAUUUUC
rnacentral:lncRNA from 1 species